ACGCUGGCGGCGCGUNUAAGCAUGCAAGUCGAGGGGUAGAAAGUCUCGGACUUUUGAGACCGGCGAACGGGUGAGUAACACGUAGAUAAUCUGUCUCUGGAUGGGGGAUAGCCCAUGGAAACAUGGGGUAAUACAGCAUAAGCUCUCUUUUUCAUAAGGAGGAGAGAGGAAAGGCGCUUAGGGGUCGUCCGGAGAGGAGUCUGCGGUUCAUUAGUUAGUUGGUGGGGUACAGGCCUACCAAGGCGACGAUGAAUAGCCGGCCUGAGAGGGUGAACGGCCACACUGGGACUGAGACACGGUCCAGACUCCUACGGGAGGCAGCAGCUAAGAAUCUUCCGCAAUGGGCGAAAGCCUGACGGAGCGACGCCGCGUGAACGAAGAAGGCUUAACGGUUGUAAAGUUCUUUUCUUGGGGAGGAAUAAGCCUUGCAGGGAAUGACAGGGUGAUGACGUUAACCGAGGAAAAAGCCCCGGCUAAUUACGUGCCAGCAGCCGCGGUAACACGUAAGGGGCGAGCGUUGUUCGGAAUUAUUGGGCGUAAAGGGCGCGUAGGCGGCAUGGCAAGUCAGGUGUGAAAGAUCUCAGCUCAACUGAGGAAACGCGCUUGAAACUGCUGUGCUGGAGUCUAGGAGGGGAAGCUGGAAUUCCUAGUGUAGGGGUGAAAUCUGUAGAUAUUAGGAAGAACACCGGUGGCGAAGACGAGCUUCUGGCCAUAGACUGACGCUGAGGCGCGAAAGCGUGGGGAGCGAACAGGAUUAGAUACCCUGGUAGU
rnacentral:rRNA from 1 species